GUCCGUCGCCUCCUCCCGGGAGCGGACGCCUGCGAGCAGGUUGUUGUUUUUAUAAGAGGCGUCACUGGGCUCGGAGCUGUGACCAACGCUACCGCGACAGCUAGCCCUUGGGGGCGGAGGUGGCGGUGCCCCUUCAGACCUGAAAAAUGGCUGAAAACUCCAGUGACAGUGAUUCAUCUUGUGGUUGGACUGUCAUCAAUCAUGAGGGGUCUGAUAUAGAGAUGGUGACUUCUGAACAUGGGACAGCCAGUGACAGCUCUGAGCUCAUCCCAGAGUAUUCAUCUUUAGAGCAAGAGGAGCUACAAGUAUUGCAGUUAGAACAAGACGAGAGCAGCCAAACUGUCACAAUGGUAGUGGAAGAAACUUCUUAUCCAGCUUUGGAAGAAACGAAGUUAGCACUUGUGAGAGAGGAAGAAAAGUCACUUGAAGACAAUGUUUCUUUUGGAACUGUCAGUGAUGAUUCUGAUAUUGUGACCCUUGAGCCACCUAAGUUAGAAGAAAUUGGAAGUCAAGAAGAAGCCAUAAGUGUUAAAGAAGCACAGAGUCCAGAAGACUUUAACAUGGGCUCUUCCUCUAGCAGCCAAUACACAUUCUGUCCACCAGAAACUGUAUUUUCAUCUCAGCCGAGUGAUGACAAGUCAAGUAGUGAUGAAACCAGCCAUGAUCCCAGUCCAGCCUUUAGACGCCGCCGUGCUAGGAAGAAAACUAUUUCUAGUUCAGAAUCUGAAGAACGACUGCUCGCUGACCAAGAAACUGAACCUUCUACGGAGCUGGGUAAACGCCAUUUCAGUAGUGGCCUCAAUAAGUGUGUUAUACUUGCUCUGGUGAUUGCAAUCAGCAUGGGAUUUGGACAUUUCUAUGGCACAUUUCAGAUUCAGAAACGUCAACAGUUAGUCAGAAAGAUACAUGAAGAUGAAUUGAUUGAUAUGGACUAUCUUUCCCAAUGUGACCAGAAACAAGUCUCUGUUACAGAUUAUAAGUCAUUGAAGGAGAACCUUGCAAAGUGUUGGACCCUGACUGAAGCAGAGAAGAUGUCCUUUGAAACUCAAAAAAAGAGCCUUGAUACAGAAAAUCAGUAUUUAAGAAUAUCUUUGGAGAAGGAAGAAAAAGCAUUGUCUUCACUACAAGAAGAGUUAAGGAAACUAAGAGAACAGAUUAGGAUAUUGGAAGAUAAAGGGACAAGUACUGAAUUAGGUACUGAAAACCAAAAACUUAAGCAGUAUUUGAAAGAAGAAAAGCAGAAAACACGCAGCAUCCUUAAUCAAAGGGAGACUCUGUUGGCAGAAGCAAAAAUGCUAAGGAGGGAACUGGAGAGAGAACGACUAAAAACCAUGGCUUUAAGAGUGGAACUUCAGCAAUUAAGCUCUAGCCAGUCAGAUGGCAACCCAGAUUCUCCCAAUGUACUGACAGAUAAAAAGGAAGUAGAAAUCUUACGGGAAAGACUCACGGAGCUGGAACGGAAGCUAACCUUUGAACAGCAACGUUCUGAUUUGUGGGAAAGGCUAUAUGUUGAGGCAAAAGAUCAAAAUGGAAAACAAGAAACUGAUGGAAAAAAGAAAGGGGGCAGAGGAAACUACAGGGCCAAAAAUAAGUCAAAAGAAACAUUUUUGGGUUCAGUUAAGGAAACAUUUGAUGCCAUGAAGAAUUCUACCAAAGAGUUUGUGAGGCACCAUAAAGAAAAAAUUAAGCAGGCUAAAGAAGCUGUAAAAGAAAAUCUGAAAAAAUUCUCAGAUUCAGUUAAAUCUACUUUCCGACAUUUCAAAGAUACCACCAAGAAUAUCUUUGAUGAAAAGGGCAAUAAAAGAUUUGGUGGUACAAAAGAAGGAACAGCUAAAAAACCAACAGUUUUUAGUGAAUACUUACAUCCACUGUAUAAGGCACGUACACAAAACCAGAAUAGAGGCCCUGCCAUGCAAAGAGAGGGAAGGAAAGAAAAGCCAGUUCAUUUUGAAGAAUUUGGGAAAAAUACAAAUUCACAAAAAUGCAGUGCUGAACAUGGCUGUAGUGAAAGUUAUAAUUCUUUCAGAAAGUCUUGUUCUGGUGUAUUUGAAUGUGCUCAACAGGAAUCCAUUAACCUUUUUAAUAUGAAAGUGUCCAAUCCUGUAAGGAUAGAUGAAUUUAGACAGUUAGUUGAAAGGUACUUAUUAGAAAAAUUGGAUAGUUUUCAUCACUGGAAAGAACUUGAUCAAUUCAUCGAUAAGUUUUUCAUACAUGGUAUCUUUAUACAUGAUCAGAAGCUCUUCACUGACUUUGUUAAUGAUGUUAAAGAUUAUCUUAAAGACAUGAAGGAAUAUCAAGUAGAUAAUGAUGGAGUGUUUGAGAAGUUGGAUGGAUAUAUAUAUAGACACUUCUUUGGUCACACUUUUUCCCCUCCAUAUGGACCCAGGUCGGUUUACAUAGCACCAUGUUGUUAUAAUAGUUUUUAACAUUUGUAGAUUGGAUAGCAUUUUAUUUGAUAAGUUUCUUGGAUGUUAUUAUAAAGUACUUUAAAAAAAUAGUGCUAUUUGUAAGAGUACUUUAAUGUCAGAAUUUAGGAUAAAUUAAAUGGAAAGAUAUAAUUUCAAGUUAAUAGCUAUAACAGUCAGAAAAUUUCAUAUAAUCAGCUUGACUUAAGCAAAUAGUUUCAUUAGCUUAUUUUGUUUUCAUUUUAAUCUAUAUGAAAAGCUAAUCACCUUAAGUGAAAUUUUCCUUUAAUAUUUUAUUUACUCAUUUUUGGGGAGCUAGGAGUGAAGAAUUCAAAUUAAAUUCUGAAGUCAGAAGGGCUCACAUACAAUGAUUUGGAUGUCCCACUUAUUUUCAUUUGUCUAUCCCAUUUGUCAACUUAAUUACAAUAUUUAAUUCACUUAUUACAGAAUUAUUGUAGUGAUAUGAUUAAAGAGGCAAACUUGAUAAGCCACAAGUUCUAUGUGUGUGCUUUGAACAUAACUUCUAAAAAUAACUGUCUUUACUUAUCACCUUUAUAUUCAGUAAUAUGAAAUUUGACUAAUCUUCAAAUGUUAGCUAUAUUUUUUACAUGAGAGAGUUAUACAGAGUGUCCCCAAAACAUGUAUACAUACUUUAACAGCUGAUAGCUCAUGAUAGUUGAUGUUUCUUUCUUUUUAGGCAGAUUAAGCUUUGAACAAAGAAAAUUAAACUUUUUUAUGAGGAUACAUAAAAGAUGAAGUUUGCGGCACAAAACAGAUGAAUUGAGGGCACACAAAUAGCGAACAAAAUGAUUCUUGAUGUUUGCUUUUCCAUUGCUUCAAUUUCCCAGCAAUGCCUGGACCAGAAUGGUCAUCGGUUUAAAAACAGGCACUGACCAAAACCAUUAUUCAUUUCUGUAGAUUCUUUUAAUUUUUUAAAAAAUGAACUGUAUAUUAAUAAAUACCACCUUUAUAAUCAUUCAAAGUAUGCAUACAUUUUUGGGGGACACCCUAUAUAUCUGAAUAAAAGUAAUGUGUCAUUAAAAUAAUGAGACUGACUCGUGUCAUUAGUCAUUCAAUGAAUAUCUAGUGCUUAUAAUGAGUAAAGCAUUGUGAAGCUACUUUGAGGAAACAUGAAAAAUUCUUGCUGUGAAGGAGCUCACAAGCUUUUGAGAGUUAGAACUCAACUUUUUAAAGCUGGCUUUGAAGGAGAAAUGGAUUUGCCAAGCAGAUAGGUAUGUGAUGACAUGCCACUUUAGGGAGGAAAGAUGGUGCUGGGGUAUGAACAGAAGACAAUAUUUAGCUUACAUUGAGAGCCACAUUUUAUGCUAAAGUAUGUGCUUUAUGGCAUUUUGGAUCACUGACAAUAGCCUGUGGGAUUUAUUGGAAAGGAUGGAGCUAAGGUGGUUUUUAAAAUAAUACAGGUAUGAACAGAAAGGGGAGAUAUUUGAGUAAUACAUAGUGAGUAAAAUUGGUGGUUUUUGUGAAGUAGAAAGCAAAAAUUUCCAGAUUUCUGGUUUAAGGUUUUGGGUAAGGGGAAUUGGAAAUGAGUUGUGCUCGGAGGAACCUAUUAACAUCCAAAGGAGAGUAUUAGUUGGCCAUUAGUUUAGCCCAGACUGUGUGUGUGUAGUCUAGGCUGGAAAUAUUUAUCACACAACAUAUGAGGGUUGUAGGAAAAGAAGGCUUAGAAUGACAAGACAGAGAGUGGGAUCACGGACAUCCAAAGAUCUCAAGUAUUAAUAAAAAGAGUAUGUAUGUGAAACUCUUUAAAAAAAAGGAUUAGAUUUCUUGGGUGGGGAAUUAGGUAGCCGUGGAUGGCAUUAUGGAGUAUUUCCAAGGAAGUAGUGACAGAAGCCUGGUGGCAUUAUGGACUGGUUGAGUGAUACUGUGACAGAAGCCUGAUUAGAGAGAGAGAGGAAACCAGUAAAUGUAGACACAGGUUAACUUGAGCUGUAAGAGAGAAAAAGAAGGACUUUAUUUUGUAAGUGGUAUAUAAACAUUUCUGCUGAGGGAUGAAGCCAAUAGGGAGGGAUUGAUUUUCUUCAGGAAAGGAAGAAAAAUAGUGGAAACACCUCAUUAUUUUAUUGUCACAUUUCUGGGUUUUGUGUUUGUUUUUUCUUCUAUAGGAUAAAAGUAGACUGGAUCUUUCUGGCAUGAUUAUACUAUGAUUAUACUUCAGUUUAAUUUAACAUCCUUUCUCAGAGUGUUCAGAUAAUAGAUUAAUGGAGAAAAACAUUUAAAUUGUUUUUUGUUUAAAUAAAUUUAACUCUAACAUAGAUGAAAAAAUGUGUUUACUGCUUUCAGUCGACCAGAUAAAAAGAAACGUACGGUAAAUAUUGAAAACUCCAGGCAUCGAAAACAAGAGCAGAAGCACCCUCAGCCACAACCUUAUAAGAGGGAAGAGCCCGCUGACUUGUGAAGAAUUUGCUGCCUUCUUAUGAGCUUGCUGACUUGUUCUCUUGUGAAAUUUCUUGCAUAUCUGAAUAUUGUGGAAGAAACAAUAAAACUACAACAUGAGGAAAACUAAAGGUCUUUAUUUAAAAUCUGGGCAUUGUAUUAAUAGACAAUUUUAUACUUUGUGAUAAUUUUCAUACAUUUCCUCAGUAGUAAUAUUUGGAAAGCAGUUCAGAGGUGUUUUGCUAGUUCCACGAAUCUUACCCAGUGUUUACUAGUGUAUUUAAGCAGCAUCCGAGUAUUUUUACCCAGGAGUGUCUUUUUCUUUGGGAAAGUUAUAAAAACAGUUCAGAAUUUCAUCUUCUAUAGAGUUUCUCUUUUAACUUCCGUUCAUAGAUGUAUAUGUGGCUUCCGGUUCGACCCUCUGGCAAGUGAGUGUGGAAGAAAAUAGCAGUUCUCUCAUAGUUUCUUGAAAUUAAGAAAGCACUAAUUUCCUAGAAAUAAAUGUUUUCAUAAAUAAAGGCUACAUUUUGCUCA